UACGGAGGGGGCAAGCGUUGUUCGGAAUCAUUGGGCGUAAAGAGUAUGUAGGCGGCUAUUUAAGUCAGACGUGUAAGCCCACGGCUCAACCGUGGAAUUGCGUUUGAAACUAUUUAGCUUGAGUACAGGAGAGGAAGGCGGAAUUCCCAGUGUAGCGGUGAAAUGCAUUGAUAUUGGGAAGAACACCGGUGGCGAAGGCGGCCUUCUGGUCUGAUACUGACGCUGAGGUGCGAAAGUGUGGGGAGCAAACAGG
rnacentral:rRNA from 1 species